ACGGAAGGCAGCAGUGAGGAAUAUUGGUCAAUGGUCGGAAGACUGAACCAGCCAAGUCGCGUGCAGGAAGAAUGUCCUAUGGAUUGUAAACUGCUUUUAUACGGGAAUAAAGAGGGUGACGAGUCACCCGUUGAAUGUACCGUAAGAAUAAGGGUCGGCUAACUCCGUGCCAGCAGCCGCGGUAAUACGGAGGACCCGAGCGUUAUCCGGAUUUAUUGGGUUUAAAGGGUGCGCAGGCGGACGAUUAAGUCAGCGGUGAAAUUCUCAGGCUCAACCUGAGAACUGCCAUUGAUACUGGUCGCCUUGAGAGAUGUCGAGGAUGGCGGAAUGUGAUGUGUAGCGGUGAAAUGCUUAGAUAUGUCACAGAACACCGAUUGCGAAGGCAGCUGUCCAGAGAUCAUCUGACGCUCAGGCACGAAAGCAUGGGUAUCAAACAGGAUUAGAUACCCUGGUA
rnacentral:rRNA from 1 species